GAAAGAAAAGAGGGAGAAAGUGGCCUAGCGCCCCCCACUCUACCGUUUCCUGCAUAGGCUCAAGACUGCUCUGUGGGCCAGGUUGUGCUGGGUUUGAGGGCUGGAAGUAGGAUGACAUGAGCUGAUAUAGGAGAGAAAUAUAGGGCCCAUUCCAUCCCAAGAUGCUGUGUUUAGUUGGGAAGACCCAGGCCAUAUUAAACAGAGCCGCCAAGAGGACCUCCAGUAUAGUCGUGUGUAAGAGGAGCAAUAGAGGGCAUCCAAGUCUUUUUCUUGACAUCAGAGAAAAUUCUGCUGUACUUCAAACAUUAACACAAUAUCAAAUAAAGGCAUUGAGAAAGACCACCCCUGAUUUGAUUCUGACUUUAAGAAGACUGCUUCUUCUUUCCUGCCCAGCCAAUUGAGGUUUUGCUCCAGCCGAGGCUGAUAGGAGGAAGCAAGCCACAGAGUUUAUUUUCCAUCACACACCAUUGUGCUGCUGAGCAAAUAUUUUAGCAAGCUUUGAAUGAACCACCUUUUCAAGCUCUAGGUUUUCAGAGUUAAAUAGGAAGCCAUGACCAACCUAAUAAUAAUCCAUUUUGAAUCAGCUUCAGGCCACCCUACUGAAGCACUUUUGUGGGUCUCCUGGAAAACCAGGUUUGGGGCAUGAACAUUGCAGGAUCCUCUUCCCUUCAUCUUCAUCCCAUUGCCUUGAGGGGAGUGAGGACUCUUGAUGCUCCUCACUGCAGUGUCUGGGUCUUUUGAGGAAGAGAAAAAUUAGCCCUUGGGUGCCCAGCCAACACAGGUCCCAAAAAAUACCCGGAGUCCAGCCUUUUGAAUCAGCUCAUCCCAUCACUGGCCACAUGAGGCACAGCCGGCAGCUCCUACAUCCACCCACCAUCACAGGGCCACCCAGUCUGAACAAAGAACAUCUUAAGCUCUCAGCAAACGGAUCCCUCUUUUUCCAAAGACAAGUAAGACUCUUGAUCCCAAAGAGAAUGGAAAUCUAGGAGACUGAAAUGAAAAAAUUCCCCAAAGCAAACUUCAAAAUGUUACAUUAAGAUUUUUAAACUUUUUAAUAAUGUUUUACCUUAGCUCUAUUCCAUCUAUCUAGCAAUUAAUCCAUCAGCCUUCACAUAAUACACACCUACAGGAAACGCGCUUCACGUGCCUCUGGGCUGGAUUCCACUGUGGCUUACUAAUGUGUUAACACUCUGGAAUUCCCUUGACUUUCAGCAUCCCUUCUUCCCAGCCCAGCCCUCCCAAGUAAGUUCGUAGGUAGGUGUCAGGGCUCCGUGACUCUGCUGGGAUUUGGCCCGAGCCCCAGAGAACCAACCGCGGUCUAACUCACAAUGGCACCACCUCAGCUGGAUGUAAAAGCUCAACGUUCCCACUCCAACCUCACAUCAACUCCCCAGACCUGAGUGUUGUACCCUCAGGAGGAUUAACUGGAAAGCAGGUGUCAACAAAAAACUUUUCUGCCACAGUUUGUCACAUGAAUACUGCUUCAGAGUCAUUUUAAUCUGUGCAAUGACAUAAAUUGGGACCUAGCUGCCACUUGGAGAAAUCCACCUGCAAUUGUCAUUUCACCAAUAUUUUACAGAAGGCACUCAUAUCUUCUGGUUGGAGGAGGGACCAAGGAAAAAGGCUGGGUGGGGGGGUGGGUGGAGGAUCACAACUGCUUAACAGAAAAAUUAUACAUAUUCUAAACAUAUGGGUGAUCUUUAGAAAAUCUCAGCAUCACUUCAUAAUUAUAUACUACAAGUUUUAAUUAACUAAAGCUCUGCAAAUCAUAAUGCCUUAUUAAAAUGCAAUUAAUCCUUUGAUUAAAAAACAAAAAGCACAAGUAUUUACAACAAAAACACAAGUAGAAUAAUUACAAAUAUCAUGUACCCAUUUCUUUUAUUUGGGUGUCACUUAUGAUGUUGCCCGCUCCCUUCAUUAAUUCGAACACACACAUUAUCUCGCAUCCACAGCAGCUUGAGUGACAGUGGUCACCAAACACACAGCACUAUAUCCUAUUGAUUUCGGCAAAUCCUGAACAAUGCCAUUUGCAUGCUUGUUUCUGUAAUAAUAAAGAUAUGCCAUUCAGAAUUAAAGCCUGG